CAGCCGCCGCGGGAAUACAGAGGGUGCGAGCGUUAAUCGGAUUUACUGGGCGUAAAGCGUGCGUAGGCGGCUUUUUAAGUUGGAUGUGAAAUCCCUGAGCUUAACUUAGGAAUUGCAUUCGAUACUGGGAAGCUAGAGUAUGGGAGAGGAUGGUAGAAUUCCAGGUGUAGCGGUGAAAUGCGUAGAGAUCUGGAGGAAUACCGAUGGCGAAGGCAGCCAUCUGGCCUAAUACUGACGCUGAGGUACGAAAGCAUGGGGAGCAAACAGGAUUAGAUACCCGAGUAGUCCCUGUCUCUUAUAC
rnacentral:rRNA from 1 species